CUGGAAAAGUUUCAAACAAAACAAUAUAACCAAUUCAAUUUGUGAAGCAGAAUGCAUUGCAGCAUCCGAUGUUUGUAAGGAAGCUAUGUGAUUGUAAAGGUUAAUUAGCAAGCUGAGAGUGGAAUCCUCCAAUGAUGGUCCUACAGUAUUGUACUAUGCCAGAGCCAUAGCUCAUGCCAAGGAGCCGAAGUCCCAUUAGCU
rnacentral:lncRNA from 1 species